GUAGGUGCGUCCGUCACCUCGCGGGUUAAACGGGAACACCGGUGAGGUUGUCGGCGGCCAGCGCCGCGCAGCUGAGACCGGGACUGCCCCCGCAACGGUGAGCGUGUGGCAGCGGGUCAUCCGGCCACUGUGGUUUGACCACGGGAAGGCGGCCCGCUCGGCUUGAGACAAGCCUGCACGCGAGUCCGGAGACCGGCCCGAUGAGCUU
rnacentral:ncRNA from 1 species